AUGAAAAUUGUAAGUUGGAACUGGUGGGGGCUCGGGAAUGGCCCGACAGUUCGUUCUCUUCUCGAUCUGGGAAGAGUGGAGGAACCCGAUAUUCUGUUUUUGUGUGAAACUAGGAUGGAGGAGAAGGAGUUGGACCGGUUUAGGUGGCUGUUAGGGCUCACCCACAUGUGCUCAUGGAAGGGAGAGGGGAGGAGUCGAGGUGUGGCAUAGUUCUGGAGGAAGGAAGUGGAUGUGACUCUGAGAUCGUCUGGGAGGAGGCAUAUAGAUGUUGAUGUAAGGAGGGAUGAUGGUUUGGUGUGGAGGCUCAUGGGUGUGUACGAAGAAUCGGAAAUGGAUAGGAAAAAGGAGACCUGCAGAAUGAUGCGCAUUCUGAAACAACAACAUCAGGGUGGAAGGCCUUGGUUAUGUCUCGGCGACUUUAAUGAGAUUUUGAUGACCAUGGAGAAAGCAGGCGGGGCAGCCCGGCCCCAACAUUACCUGGAUGGCUUCUGGGAGGCCUUGCAGACAUGCGAGCUUGGUGACAUUGGAUUUGAGGGGGACAUUUUCACGUGGAGGAAUCAUAGCAAGGAGCUGCGCACAUAUAUUUGUGAGAGAUUGGACAGGGCCACAUCGAAUGCAGAAUGGUGUGAGCAGUUCCUGGAGUACACAGUGAUUAAUGGCCUGCCCAUACACUCUGACCAUCAGCCUAUUAUUUUGAAUACAGAAGCUCUUGAUAGGGAGUGGUAG
rnacentral:rRNA from 1 species